rnacentral:rRNA from 1 species
UACGUAGGGUGCAAGCGUUGUCCGGAAUUAUUGGGCGUAAAGAGCUCGUAGGCGCCUGUCACGUCGACUGUGAAAACCCAGGGCUCAACCCUGGGCCUGCAGUCGAUACGGGCAGGCUAGAGUGUGGUAGGGGGAGACUGGAAUUCCUGGUGUAGCGGUGAAAUGCGCAGAUAUCAGGAGGAACACCGGUGGCGAAGGCGGGGUCUCUGGGGCCGAUACUGACGCUGAGGAGCGAAAGCGUGGGGAGCGAACAGG